AUUGAACGCUGGCGGCAUGCUUUACACAUGCAAGUCGAACGGUAACAGGUUAAGCUGACGAGUGGCGAACGGGUGAGUAAUGCAUCGGAACGUGCCCGAUCGUGGGGGAUAACGCAGCGAAAGCUGCGCUAAUACCGCAUACGAUCUGAGGAUGAAAGCGGGGGACCGUAAGGCCUCGCGCGAUCGGAGAGGCAGAUGUCAGAUUAGGUAGUUGGUGGGGUAAAGGCCCACCAAGCCGACGAUCUGCAGCUGGUCUGAGAGGACGACCAGCCACACUGGGACUGAGACACGGCCCAGACUCCUACGGGAGGCAGCAGUGGGGAAUUUUGGACAAUGGGCGAAAGCCUGAUCCAGCAAUGCCGCGUGCAGGAAGAAGGCCUUCGGGUUGUAAACUGCUUUUGUACGGAGCGAAAAGGUCCUUUCUAAUACAAGGGGCUCAUGACGGUACCGUAAGAAUAAGCACCGGCUAACUACGUGCCAGCCGCCGCCGUAA
rnacentral:rRNA from 1 species